AUCUCUAACAAUUUCCAACUGUCUGGGAUUUUUAGCAUGCGCCCUGUCCUGAUGCAGCACACUGGACCUCGGUUUUUCGUCCCAUCCAAACGACUAGGUGCUAUUCUUUGCCAGCCCCUCAGCUCGGGUCUGCACCACUGUGACUGACAAGGAAGGGGAAUCCGUCAUGAGUUUUUAUGACCGGGAAUCGAAUCAACAACCUGGACCUGGUUAGUAAGCAAGCUCCGUAGUCACUGAGCCACUGCUGCUCCCCAUAUAAUAAACAAGAAUGAUAAAUAAAUAGCUCUAACUAAAUAUCAUGAAUGAUCAUCUGAUCUGGAUGUCCAUUAUUCAUCAAAUAUGCAUAGAUUUAGAAAGGGGUAGGGGUGAAGGUUACCUUGAUCAUGGCCUGAUGCCCCCCUGAAAUUGCGCCGUUGAUUACAGUCUGGCUACGGGCCUGCAUAUUAUAUUAUAAUGAAUCAAGGCCAAUGCAAGGUAGAUAAGCUCUUAUGUGAUUGAGUGUAGUUUAGCUUUAUUAUAAGAUUAUAGUAAACAAACAAUAUUUUCGAGUUUCUAUUAGAUGGGGGUUGUUUUGAACAUAACAUGUAUUACAUUGGUCUAAAAAAAAGGGUAUCAAAUUCCUAUUAAUACUGGAUGCAUGAUAGUCGUUUGUGUCCGAUAGUGAGUGGACUACUCUUCAUUUCAGAAAAAUGCAGAAGAUAUGAUGCGUGAAGCAUCAGAAGCUUUAAUGAAAGCGGCGAAUAGUUUAAUCAACAUGAAUGUUAAACCUCUAACAACAUUUACAGCACCAAGUCCAAAUGUAUCAGAAAUCCGAAAAUUAUUUGGCCCGUAUCCUCGGCCUCCAACAGUACAGCUACAGGGUAAACAACGCUUUGUCAACAGGGGAUCAUUGGUUUCAAAAUGGACGCAUAAAUAUGUUUGCCUUUCAAGUCAUGUACAGGAUACCAUCCCAGAUAAGAACGACAAAAGAAUACUUCACAAUGGAGGACUUGGGGAAAAAAUCUUGAAUUUUGAAAAAAAUAGUUCCCCAGAGUACUUCCGUAAACAACUGUACAAUGCCUAUCACCAGCUUGAAGAAGGUGGGGGUUUUGAUCUUAUGAGAAGCAGUGGCCGAAAGUCUUUAGAGUUGAUUCCACCAGCAAAUAAAGGAUAUUCCGUGAAAUAUUUGUUAGAGGAUGCUGUGAUAGGUCAAUCUAUAAUUUAUAUAAGACCACUUCAGAAAGAUCUAGAACUUCUUGAAAACAUUGACACAGAAGAGCCUGCAGAUGAUUGUUUAUUGGAAAAGUGUAUUCAGUGUGAACAGUUGAUUCCUGUUAUUAAUAUGAGAGUGCAUAUUUCAGAACAUAACAGCAAGGCAAGUAUUUG